UACGUAGGCAGCGAGCGUUGUUCGGAUUUACUGGGCGUAAAGGGUGCGCAGGCGGCCCUGCGCGUCGCGAGUGAAAUCUCCCGGCUCAACUGGGAGGGUGGUCGCGAGACGGCAGGGCUUGAGGCUCGGUGAGGGGCGUGGAAUUCCGGGUGGAGCGGUGAAAUGCGUAGAGAUCCGGAGGAACACCAACGGCGUAGGCAGCGCCCUAGACGAGACCUGACGCUCAGGCACGAAAGCGCGGGGAGCGAACAGG
rnacentral:rRNA from 1 species